GAAUGCAUAAUUAGCAUGCGACACCAAAGAAUUCGGAUUGUAACAUUUGCCUCCGGGUUGGAUCUCAUCACAAGUCCGAUUACCCUGCCCACAAGCAUACGACAUUGCUCCACCCAACUCCGAUGCAUUUGCACUUCUACUAACAACACACCAAAUUUUCCCUGUGUACGGUUCAUUGUUCCUUGCUCUCGGCAACGCUUUAUAUUCAGAUUCAGGCGUCUUACCAGACAAGUCUAUCCCGUAUAUGUUUGUUCCAUUAGGAUACAAUAACCCGAAAUGCCUCUCUGUACCUGGACCCGGUUUUUGAUUCUCAUUAUACAAUGCAAAUAAUAAUGUCGGCACAACAACUCCAGGUUUAGCUGGGGUUCCAAUAGGUGGCUUAACUGUAAACUUCUUUAUCACAUUACGAUUGUACGUUGCUGCAUUGUAGAUGUUCGCUCCAAUUUGAUCCACCCCACCGGCAUUAGGCCAACCCGUUUCUGCAAUAAAUAACCGAACAU
rnacentral:misc_RNA from 1 species